GCGCGCUUAGCUCAGUUGGUUAGAGCACCUCGUUUACACCGAGGGGGUCGAGGGUUCGAAUCCCCCAGCGCGCACCA
rnacentral:tRNA from 1 species